rnacentral:rRNA from 1 species
UACGUAGGGUGCGAGCGCUGUCCGGAAUUACUGGGCGUAAAGAGCUCGUAGGUGGUUUGUCGCGUUGUUCGUGAAAUCUCACGGCUUAACUGUGAGCGUGCGGGCGAUACGGGCAGACUAGAGUACUGCAGGGGAGACUGGAAUUCCUGGUGUAGCGGUGGAAUGCGCAGAUAUCAGGAGGAACACCGGUGGCGAAGGCGGGUCUCUGGGCAGUAACUGACGUUGAGGAGCGAAAGCGUGGGGAGCGAACAGG